CCAUUUUAAAGCCCUUUUCUGGCCUAUAAAUAUUAUGUUGUGAAUGGAUAUAAUCAGCUUUGUUCUUUUGUUUCCCCAGAACAACCACUGCAUUUCUAAAAUCAUCUGAACAUUUCAGAGGCAACAUUGAAUUACAUGAAAUUGAAUGAUGACUGGGGUUGCAUUAUGCCCGAGAUCUGCUUUUGGGUUCCACAGACAGAAAGUCAAACAGGGACCUCGGUAAGCUGAAAUACAAGUUUGAACAAGAAUAAAAAUCCUCCUGUAGACCUGAAAAUCAUUGAAGUGCCUGGACCAUUCACCAAGAAAGAGGAAAAACAAACGGAAA